rnacentral:lncRNA from 10 species
AAUGGAUGAGAUGGACUUACAUCAACAGCACAGAAUCAUAUCUAUUUUUUUCACCUUCUUGAGAAAAAGAUACCGCUGCUUAUUAGCCUCAACGAGUCUUGUAAUGUGAAAAACACAACAUUUUCCUGUACCUUUUAUGGAUAUCUUCAUUAGCUGUGGAUGGCAAUACAAAUCCUUCUUCAUCUAAUUUAAUUUCAACAUCUGGUGAGAGAAGAAAGGAAAAAUUCCUCGUGUGAUACCCUCACAAACACUAUCUUCCUGUAUUCAUUCCUUUGCUUUGCUUUGAUUCCUUCCACCUUGCAUUGAUCAAUUGGACUGAAGGCUGCAAAGUAAUGACCACAACCAAACAAUGGUGGCAGAGAUCCUUCAAUCCAGACUGUGAAGAAAACCCUUGAGUUAAGACAUUAGACAUCUGUGCAACUCAUAACUUCCAUCAUUCCAACUUGCAGUGCCUCCAUGGUAAGUAAAGAAAGCAUGCCACACCCAGACACCUGGUCUGCGAGCACGGAAGGCUUCCGAACUGUCCUUCCCCUCUGGUAAACUGCAGUUCCCUUCGUAAAGAGAAGAGAAGUGACCAUCUGAAGCCUAUGAACUGCUGUCCUUUACGAGAAGGCUUUCUUCUGCUCAUCAAGUUAGAAGAACUGUAAGGACGGAGGACUUGGAGUCUCUUGUCAGUGCUGUCCAGGAGAAAUUUCUGUGAUGUGGAAAUCUUUAUAAUGGUGCUGUCCAAUUUGGCAGCCAUGAGCCACAUGUGGCUACUGAGCACUUACAAUGUGACUGAGGAAUUGAAUUUUCUUAAACUUUUAAUAAUUUAAAUUUAAAUAGCCACAUGGUCUAGUGGCUACU